rnacentral:rRNA from 1 species
AACGAACGCUGGCGGCGCGCCUAACACAUGCAAGUCGAACGAGAAGGCGUAGCAAUACGCUUGUAAAGUGGCGAACGGGUGAGGAAUACGUGGGUAACCUACCCUCGAGUGGGAAGUAACCAACCGAAAGGUUAGGCUAAUGCCGCGUACGCUUCCAUCUCUUCGGAGGUGGAAGGAAAGACUGUACCGUGGGUACGAGCGCUCAAGGAUGGGCGUCACGUCCUAUCAGCUUGUUGGUAGGGUAACGGCCUACCAAGGCAACGACGGGUAGCUGGUCUGAGAGGACGAUCAGCCACACUGGCACUGCGACACGGGCCAGACUCCUACGGGAGGCAGCAGUGAGGAAUAUUGCGCAAUGGGCGAAAGCCUGACGCAGCGACGCCGCGUGGGGAGUGAAGGU